rnacentral:rRNA from 1 species
GACGUAGGGGGCGAGCGUUGUCCGGAUUCAUUGGGCGUAAAGCGCGCGCAGGCGGCCCGGUAAGUCGGAUGUGAAAUCUCACGGCUCAACCGUGAAACUGCAUUCGAUACUGUCGGGCUAGAGGCAGGUAGGGGAGAUCGGAAUUCCUGGUGUAGCGGUGAAAUGCGCAGAUAUCAGGAGGAACACCGGUGGCGAAGGCGGGUCUCUGGGCCGAUACUGACGCUGAGGAGCGAAAGCGUGGGGAGCAAACAGG